rnacentral:rRNA from 1 species
CGAGUUUGAUCCUGGCUCAGAACGAACGCUGGCGGCAGGCCUAACACAUGCAAGUCGAACGAGAAGCUUCUUCGGAAGUGGACAGUGGCAGACGGGUGAGUAACGCGUGGGGAUCUGCCCAGAGGUUCGGGACAACCAUUGGAAACGAUGGCUAAUACCGGAUAAGCCCGCAAGGGGAAAGAUUUAUCGCCUUUGGAUGAACCCGCGUAAGAUUAGCUAGUUGGUGAGGUAAUGGCUCACCAAGGCGACGAUCUUUAGCUGGUCUGAGAGGAUGAUCAGCCACAUUGGGACUGAGACACGGCCCAGACUCCUACGGGAGGCAGCAGUGAGGAAUAUUGGACAAUGGAGGCAACUCUGAUCCAGCCAUGCCGCGUGCAGGAAGACUGCCCUAUGGGUUGUAAACUGCUUUUAUAUAGG